rnacentral:rRNA from 1 species
AUGAACGCUGGCGGCGUGCCUUAUGCAUGCAAGUCGUACGGUCUCUAGUGCCGCAAGGUGCUGGAGCAGUGGCGAACGGCUGAGUAAUACAUAAGUAACCUACCCUCGAGUGGGGGAUAACCCGCCGAAAGGCGGACUAAUACCGCAUAGCCUGGCUCUGGAAAACUGGGGUCAGCAAAGGUGUAAAUCGCUUGAGGAGGGGCUUGUGUCCUAUCAGGUAGUUGGUGAGGUAACGGCCCACCAAGCCUAAGACGGGUAGCUGGUCUGAGAGGAUGUACAGCCAGAUGGGGACUGAGAUACGGCCCCAACUCCUACGGGAGGCAGCAGCAGGGAAUAUUGCGCAAUGGGCGAAAGCCUGACGCAGCGACGCCGCGUGAGGGAUGAAGGCCUUAGGGUCGUAAACCUCUUUUUAUGGGGACGAGCAAGGACGGUACCUGUAGAAUAAGCCCCGGCUAACUACGU